GACGAACGCUGGCGGCGUGCUUAACACAUGCAAGUCGAACGAGGCCCUCCUUUCGGGGAGGUGUUCUAGUGGCGAACGGGUGAGUAACACGUGGGCAACCUGCCCCCGGCUCUGGGAUAACCCCAAGAAAUUGGGGCUAAUACCGGAUAUGACCGCUGACCGCAUGGUCUGGUGGUGGAAAGUUUUUCGGCUGGGGAUGGGCCCGCGGCCUAUCAGCUUGUUGGUGGGGUAGUGGCCUACCAAGGCGACGACGGGUAGCCGGCCUGUGAGGGGAGCCGGCCACACUGGGACGGAGACACGGCCCAGACUCCUACGGGAGGCAGCAGUGGGGAAUAUUGCGCAAUGGGCGGAAGCCUGACGCAGCGACGCCGCGUGGGGGAUGACGGCCUUCGGGUUGUAAACCUCUUUCAGCAGGGACGAAGCGAAAGUGACGGUACCUGCAGAAGAAGCACCGGCCAACUACGUGCCAGCCGCCGCAGUAACAC
rnacentral:rRNA from 1 species